rnacentral:rRNA from 1 species
GACGAACGCUGGCGGCGUGCUUAACACAUGCAAGUCGAACGGUGAUGCUCCAGCUUGCUGGAGUGGAUCAGUGGCGAACGGGUGAGUAACACGUGAGCAACCUGCCCCAGACUCUGGAAUAAGCGCUGGAAACGGCGUCUAAUACUGGAUACGAAACUGGCCCGCAUGGGCAUGGUUUGGAAAGUUUUUCGGUUUGGGAUGGGCUCGCGGCCUAUCAGCUUGUUGGUGAGGUAAUGGCUCACCAAGGCGACGACGGGUAGCCGGCCUGCGAGGGCGACCGGCCACACUGGGACUGAGACACGGCCCAGACUCCUACGGGAGGCAGCAGUGGGGAAUAUUGCACAAUGGGCGAAAGCCUGAUGCAGCGACGCCGCGUGAGGGAUGACGGCCUUCGGGUUGUAAACCUCUUUCAGCAGGGAAGAAGCGAAAGUGACGGUACCUGCAGAAGAAGCACCGGCUAACUACGUG